rnacentral:rRNA from 1 species
UCGUAAAAGGUCUCGUUGGUGAACCAGCGGAGGGAUCAUUACCGAGUUUACAACUCCCAAACCCAAUGUGAACCAUACCAAACUGUUGCCUCGGCGGGGUCACGCCCCGGGUGCGUCGCAGCCCCGGAACCAGGCGCCCGCCGGAGGGACCAACCAAACUCUUUCUGUAGUCCCCUCGCGGACGUUAUUUCUUACAGCUCUGAGCAAAAAUUCAAAAUGAAUCAAAACUUUCAACAACGGAUCUCUUGGUUCUGGCAUCGAUGAAGAACGCAGCGAAAUGCGAUAAGUAAUGUGAAUUGCAGAAUUCAGUGAAUCAUCGAAUCUUUGAACGCACAUUGCGCCCGCAGUAUUCUGGCGGGCAUGCCUGUCCGAGCGUCAUUUCAACCCUCGAACCCCUCCGGGGGGUCGGCGUUGGGGAUCGGGAACCCCUAAGACGGGAUCCCGGCCCCGAAAUACAGUGGCGGUCUCGCCGCAGCCUCUCCUGCGCAGUAGUUUGCACAACUCGCACCGGGAGCGCGGCGCGUCCACGUCCGUAAAACACCCAACUUCUGAAAUGUUGACCUCGGAUCAGGUAGGAAUACCCGCUGAACUAAGCAUA